rnacentral:rRNA from 1 species
CACAACUAAGGUUGGCAGCAGGCGCGCAAAUUGCCCAAUAGCAACACAUCGCUGAGGCAGCGAAGAGAAAUAGCAACUUCCUGCGGCCCUGCCGUGUGAAGAUUGCCAUGGACGAUAUCUAAACCUGUCGGUGAGUAUCAAUUGGUGGACAAGUCUGGUGCCAGCACCCGCGGUAAUUCCAGCACCAAUAGCGUAUAUUAAUGCUGCUGCUGUUAAAAAGCUCGUAGUUGGAUCAAGAGUUCGACAGUGCACGGUGGCCCUGUUUGCCAUGGUGGUUCCGAUCACCAGAGCGGCAGCGGAUCAACCCCGUGCGCCAAACUGUCGACUCUAACAGACCGAAACGGUUCCCUGCGAGUAGGCUCCUUCAUUGGGGUUGAAAGCGCUUACGCAUCAACCAUAUGCAUACGGGACGUCGGUCAAAGUUACUGUGAACAAACCAGCGUGUCCAAAACAGGCUUUCGCCUGAAUGUUCGAGCAUGGAAUAACAAGGGAUCGAUCCUCUCGGUUCUUUUUGUUGGGUUUUAACCCGAGAAGGAGUAAUUCAGGCCACGGUGUCUGAGUUGGGUUCCCCUUCACCUCGGUGGAGGCCCCAAUUAGGCCGUGUCCUUACGGGAUCAAUAGGGACUGACGGGGUCGUACGUACUUCUACGUCAGAGGUGAAAUUCUUAGAUCGUGGGAAGACGAACUUCUGCGAAAGCAUUCGACAAGAAUGUCUUCAUUAAUCAAGAACGAGAGUGUGGGGAUCGAAGAUGAUCAGAUACCGUCGUAGUCCACUACUGUAAACAAUGCCGUCUCAGGAUUGAGAAGUGAACCUAAUGACUUUCACAGCACUAACCCCUGAAACGAGAAAUCAAAGAUUAUGGGUUCAGGGGGGAGUACAUUCGCAAGGCUGAAACUUAAAGGAAUUGACGGAAUGACACCACAAGGCGUGGAGUAUGCGGCUUAAUUUGACUCAACACGGGGAAUUUUACUAGGUCAGGACAAUGUAAGGAUUGACAGAUUGAGAGCUCUUUCUCGAUCCAUUGUGUGGUGGUGCAUGGCCGCUCCUGGUUGGUGGAGUGAUUUGUCUGGUUGAUUCCGUUAACGAACGAGAUCUCGACCCUUAAAUAGGUGCCCGUGUCGAUUGUAGUCUUGCCUCUGCCUGCUUGCAGGAUUUGAGCAGGACGAGACUGCGGGAAUACUUCUUAAGGGGACUGUGUGCGUCUCUAGCACGCGGAAGAGCGAGCCAAUAGCAGGUCUGUGAUGCUCCUAAAUGUCCUAGGCUGCACGCGCACUACACUGAUGCAAUAAACGAGUCUGAGCGCCUUCUGGCACCCUGCUUCGAACGGAGUGGGAAAUCUUUUGAACUUGCAUCGUGAUGAGGAUCGACGAUUGCAAUUAUUCUCCUUGAAUGAGGAAUGCCUAGUAGGCACAAGUCAUCAGCUUGUACUGAUUACGUCCCUGCCAUUUGUACACACCGCCCGUCGUUGCUACUGAUUGGCUGUAGGGUAGAGUUGGGCGGACUCCGACCAGUUGGGGUGACUCUUCUGGUUGGUGGAAACCCAUCAAUAUUCUGCAGCUA